UGGGGAAUAUUGCACAAUGGGGGAAACCCUGAUGCAGCGACGCCGCGUGAACGAAGAAGGUAUUCGUAUCGUAAAGUUCUGUCCUAUGGGAAGAUAAUGACAGUACCAUAGAAGAAAGCUCCGGCUAAAUACGUGCCAGCAGCCGCGGUAAUACGUAUGGAGCGAGCGUUGUCCGGAAUUAUUGGGCGUAAAGGGUACGCAGGCGGUUUAAUAAGUCGAAUGUUAAAGAUCGGGGCUCAACCCCGUAAAGCAUUGGAAACUGAUAAACUUGAGUAGUGGAGAGGCAAGUGGAAUUCCUAGUGUAGAGGUGAAAGACGUAGAUAUUAGGAGGAAUACCAGUAGCGAAGGCGACUUUCUGGGCACAAACUGACGCUGAGGUACGAAAGCGUGGGGAGCAAACAGG
rnacentral:rRNA from 1 species